CCGACUAGCAGCUUCCGGGAAACCAAAGUUUUUCGUUUCCGGGGGAAGUAUGGUUGCAAAGCUGAAACUUAAAGGAAUUGACGGAAGGGCACCACCAGGAGUGGAGCCUGCGGCUUAAUUUGACUCAACACGGGAAAACUCACCCGGCCCGGACACCGUAAGGAUUGACAGACUGAGAGCUCUUUCUUAAUUCGGUGGGUGGUGGUGCAUGGCCGUUCUUAGUUGGUGGAGCGAUUUGUCUGGUUAAUUCCGAUAACGAACGAGACUCUGGCCUAUUAAAUAGUCGGUAUAUCCGGAAAAGUUUACCGUACUUCUUAGAGGGACAAACGGCGUCUAGCCGCGUGAAAUAGAGCAAUAACAGGUCUGUGAUGCCCUUAGAUGUCCGGGGCUGCACGCGCGCUACACUGAAAGAAUCAGUAUGCGCUUUAACCUAGUCCGGAAGGAUUGGGUAACCCGAGCAAAUUCUUUCGUGCUUGGGAUAGGGAAUUGCAAUUAUUUCCCUUAAACGAGGAAUUCCCAGUAAAUGCGGGUCAUAAGCUCGCGUUGAUUACGUCCCU
rnacentral:rRNA from 1 species